rnacentral:lncRNA from 1 species
AGAGUUUCCGCUUCCGGGUUUUUAUUAAAUUUGAAUCAAAGGCGCUAAACGUAGGCUUCUAGCUUGUACUGUAUGUAAGUUGUGGGGAAACAAACGCGGAUAAAAGGUGAGGUGUAUUUUAAGGAUAGAGAGAAAAUGACUGACGCUGAGGAAGAUUUUAGAGUGCAGUGCUCCUCGAAAAGGUCGGUUUGCGAGGCAGUGCAGCAGUACGGGCUACUGCUGGGGAAGGUCUUGGACAGACAAUCCCAGAUCUCGGAAGAGCUGAGGAGUCGGGCGUUGCAGGAUUUACAGUGGAACUUCGAGACUGCCGUUCAGAAGAACGUGGUGAUCAAUGGCGAAUCUUGGGAUGACGCGCCCGAUGACCCAGUUAACGGUGAGAUCUUUCAAGAUAAAAAUACGACAAGUUACCUAUAUUUUUUCUUGGCCACACGUGAUCUAACAGGACAUCAGUACAGUAAUAUUUUUUUUUUCAGUUGUAUAUUAGCUACAGUUUCCUGACUUGCAGUCCAAGUCUGUCUGAACUGAGGUCACCCAGCUCCCCAAG